rnacentral:rRNA from 1 species
CGGAUGCGAUCAUACCAGCACUAAAGCACCGGAUCCCAUCAGAACUCCGAAGUUAAGCGUGCUUGGGCGAGAGUAGUACUACGAUGGGUGACCUCCUGGGAAGUCCUCGUGUUGCAUCCCUC